AGAGUUUGAUCAUGGCUCAGAAUGAACGCUAGCGGCGUGCUUAACACAUGCAAGUCGUACGAGAACUCUUUAGCUUGCUAAAGAUAGUAAAGUGGCGCACGGGUGAGUAACGCGUGGGUAAUCUACCUCUGAAUUUGGGAUAACUCCGCGAAAGCGGGGCUAAUACCGGAUAAUAUUUCAGGAUCUUCGGGUCUUGAAAUCAAAAGUGGCCUCUACAUGUAAGCUACUGUUUGGAGAUGAGCCCGCGUACCAUUAGCUUGUUGGUAGGGUAAUGGCCUACCAAGGCUACGAUGGUUAGCUGGUCUGAGAGGAUGAUCAGCCACACUGGAACUGACACACGGUCCAGACUCCUACGGGAGGCAGC
rnacentral:rRNA from 1 species